UACGGAGGGUGCGAGCGUUGUCCGGAAUCAUUGGGCGUAAAGGGCGCGUAGGUGGCCCCUCAAGCGUGCGGUGAAAGUCAGGGGCUCAACCCCUGAUCGGCCGUGCGAACUGGGGAGCUUGAGCACUGUAGAGGCAGGCGGAAUUCCGGGUGUAGCGGUGGAAUGCGUAGAGAUCCGGAAGAACACCGGUGGCGAAGGCGGCCUGCUGGGCAGUUUUGCUGACACUGAGGCGCGACAGCGUGGGGGAGCAAACAGG
rnacentral:rRNA from 1 species